rnacentral:rRNA from 1 species
AUUGAACGCUGGCGGCAUGCUUUACACAUGCAAGUCGAACGGCAGCACGGGGGCAACCCUGGUGGCGAGUGGCGAACGGGUGAGUAACACAUCGGAACGUGCCCAGUUGUGGGGGAUAACCUAUCGAAAGGUAGGCUAAUACCGCAUGAGCUCGGCAAGAGGAAAGCGGGGGACUCAGCGAUGGGCCUCGCGCGACUGGAGCGGCCGAUGUCCGAUUAGCAGUUGGUGGGGUAAAGGCUUACCAAGGCGACGAUCGGUAGCUGGUCUGAGAGGAUGAUCAGCCACACUGGGACUGAGACACGGCCCAGACUCCUACGGGAGGC